rnacentral:lncRNA from 1 species
CGAAGGCACGCAGCGCUUUGCUAGGCUGCGAUGCGGCGAGGUGCCAACGCGGUGAAGGAUGCAGCCGUUUGCCAGGCGGCGAGGGCGGGAGGGACGCAGCGCUUUGGUAGACGGCGAGUGCGAGGGGACGAAGCGAUCUGAGAGGCGGCGAGGGGGAAAAGGGACACAGCGGUGUGCUAGGUGGUGAGGUGGCGAGCAGACACGGCGCUUUGCCAGGCGGUGAGGCGGCGGAGGGACGCAGUGCUUUGGCAGGUGGCAAAGGGUCGCAUCGGUUGCUUAGUCUGCGAGGCAGCGAAGAGAUCGAGUGCUUUGCUUGUUGGCGAGGCAGCGAAGAGCGGCUGUGCUUUGCUUUUUUGUGAGUCGGCCAAUAGACGCAGUGAUGUGCUCUUUUGCGAGGCAGCGAAGAGACGCAGCAGUCUGCUUGUUGGUGAGACAGCGAACACGCACAGUGGUUGCUCAUUGUGGGAGGCGGCGAAGAGACGCUGUGCUUUGCUUGUUGGCGAGGCAGCGAACAGAUUCAUUCAGUCUGCUUGUCUGUGAGACAGCCAACGUGCACAGUGCUCAUUUUUGUACUUGUGAGGUGAAGUUGCUUCGGUACCUGAUUAGACAGGAUCAAGCACAUUGCUGCUUUUGUGCUUGUGAGGUCACAUGUGCCUCAAUGCCUGAUAGGCCAGUGCUGGUCAUGUGGCUGCAGUCUGUGGUUGUGAUGUCACUUGUGGCUGAGUUCCUGAUAGGCCAGUGCUGGUCCUGUGGCUGUAGUUUGUGGUUGUGA